GACGAACGCUGGCGGCGUGCCUAAUACAUGCAAGUCGAACGCAGUGGGGACGGGUGAGUAACACGUGGGUAACCUCCCAUCAGAGGGGAUAACACUUGGAAACAGGUGCUAAACCGAUACUGAUGGAUGGACCCGCGGUGCAUUAGCUAGUUGGUGGGGUAACGGCCCACCAAGGCCACGAUGCAUAGCCGAUCGGAGAGGUGUAGAGGCCACAAUGGGACUGAGACACGGCCAAGACGCCGACGGGAGGAAGCAGUAGGGAAUCUUCGGAAAUGGACGAAAGUCUGACCGAGCAACGCCGCGUGAGUGAAGAAGGGUUUAGGAUCGUAAAGCUCUGUUGUUAGAGAAGCGGUAUCUAACCAGAAAGCCACGGCUAACUACGUGCCAGCAGCCGCGGUAAUUC
rnacentral:rRNA from 1 species